rnacentral:lncRNA from 1 species
CCUUUUGUCCAUUUAUUUUCACUGAACCUUCAAAGGGUGAAGGGGAAGGUUUUCCUUGGCCCCUACAGUUUUUGGUACUGUGAGCAGGAUAAUCAGAACUAUCCUGCUGUUCUGAAAGCUGCAGUCAAGGUUACCCAGAACCUGACAAGCCAGCAGAAGGGCACAAAUUUCUUACCAGUGAGAUUCCUGGGUGUCUGUCUGUGAAAUCCAGUGAAGCAGAUGCAUAAAUAGCGGCUGUAACUGUCUAUGACAA